ensembl:lncRNA novel transcript, antisense to ZNF780A
GGGGAUCCGGCAGAUCCCGUCUGCACCCCCGGGUUCCUACUCUGAGCGCCUCCCCCUAGGCCACCCGCACUGUCGGGUCAGUCAGGCUGGAGCCCCAAUCCGCAGAGAUCUCCCGCAGCCACAGAUCUCUUCCUCAGACGUGAAGACCUUACCCCGCUAUGUCGUCGACCCCGGAGACCGGAAGUGGACUGGCGCGGUGGCCGCUGGGAAAUACAGUCCCGAACAGAAAAAGCCUCAGAAGCCUUGAGCUGUGAUCCGUUCAGGUUGAUCCCAGCAUACUAUGGGGGCUGACCCCUAAGGGAGCCGAGCCUAGUGGAUUCGUGGGAGUUCCAGCCCGCGGGGUGCACAGGUUGUUGCCAUGAGCAAGGAUCCCCAUGUGAGAAGAGCGUUUCCCUCUCGGAGCGUCAGUAUAAUUUACUUUUUCUCUCCAUGGAGAAUGCAAAUGAGCAGAACUUUUAAAGAAGAAAGAAGAAUUUAAAGUAAAAUUAUGUCAACAUGUAGGUGCUUUAACUCCUUUGUCUCAGACCCCAGCGAUAGGCUUCCACUUCUCUGUGCUAUUUGAAGGGGACUUAGGAUAAAUUUGAAAAGCUUGAACUAAAGAAUUGGUUGGUUAUAUACUAGGAGAGGAAGUGUGGUUCACAUUGGAGAUUUCAGAAUCAAAUGUCCUGGAUUCUUCGAGACAAUGUUCCUGUUAUCUGGAGAGAAAAACGUGAUUCAGGACGACAUGGAAACGGAUAAAAAUACACAGAUAAUUACUUGCCUUAUCUUGAAGGAUGAAUAAUUAACACUUUGUUAAAAUAGUAUAAACAAAUGCAAAAAAGGGCUUGCUUUUCCUAGGAAGAGCCUGAUUUCACUGUUGUAGUCUAACAAUAUUUAACUUUCAAAAUCAUUUUUCUAGUUUCCUAUGCUACAUAAGGAGGAAACAUGUAAUAAUAAAGAGCAAAACGUCUUUUCAUUCCAGAAUUGUGACAGAAAACAAAUAAGAUGAUUAACUCAACCAUAUCAAUAAUCACAUUAAAUGUAAAUGGUCUAAACACCUUAAUUUAAAAAGAUUGUCAGAUUGGAUUUUUUAAAAAGUCAGACCCAAAUGUGCAUCAAUGAUAGACUGGAUUAAGAAAAUGUGGCACAUAUACACCAUGGAAUACUAUGCAGCCAUAAAAAGGAUGAGUUCAUGUCGUUUGUAGGGACAUGGAUGAAGCUGGAAACCAUCAUUCUGAGCAAACUAUCGCAAGGACAGAAAACCAAACACCAAAUGUUCUCAGUCAUAGGUGAGAAUUGAACAAUGAGAACACUUGGACACAGGGUGGAGAACAUCACACACCGGGGCCUAUAGUGGGGUCGGGGGAGGGGGAAGGGAUAGCAUUAGAAGAUAUACCUAAUGUAAAUGACGAGUUAAUGGGUGCAGCACACCAACAUGGCACAUGUAUACAUAUGUAACAAACCUGCACUUUGUGCACAUGUACCCUAGAACUUAAAGUAUAAUAAAAAAAGAUAAUUAAAUAAAUAAAUAAACAAAAAGUCAGACCCAAAUGGGUGCUACCUACAGGUAAUAUGUUAAAUGAAAAGCACUAAAAGGUUAAGAGUAAAAGGAUGGAAAAAUAUACACCAUCCUAACACUAGUCAAAAGAAAGCUGGAGUGGCUUUAUUAAAAACAAAGUAGACUCCGGACAUAGACUAUUACCAGAGAUAAAGAAGGGCAUAAUAAUGAUAAAGGAGAUAGCUCAUCGAGUAGAAAAAAACAAACAUAAAUUUUGCUCCUAAAAGCAAAGCUUCUAAGUAUGGGAAGAAAAAUCUAUUAGAUCGAAAAGGAGACAGAUCCACAAUUAUAGUCAGAUAUUUCAAUAUAUCUCUCUUGGUAAUUGAUAGAACAAACACAGAAAAGCAACAGGGUAUAGCAGAUUUGAGCUACAUAUCAACUUACUUGAUCUCAUUUAUAUUUGAGAACACUCUCCUCAAUGACAGUAAAAUUCAUCUAUGUGGACAGGGGAUACUUACCAGUAUAGGCCAUAUUCUGGGCCAUAAAACAAGUCUCAAUAAAUGUAAGAGGAUUCGAGUCAUACAAAGCAUAUUCUUUGACAAAAAUGGAAUUAAAUUAGAACUCAAUAAUAGCUGAAUAUAUAAUAUAUUGUCCAAAGUAGUACAAAUUCGAAAAGGUAUGAAUACUAAGGUAAUUGAAAUUAUGUAAUGUUUGAAAAAUUCCUGUAUUAAUUAUAAUAUUCUGUUAUAUCCUAAAGGGUGAAACAAUAACAUAUAUACGUUAAAGCAAAAUAACAAUUUUGUAGUAAGGAAAAAAAUUUUUAAGCUAUUUAUGUUGACUAAACAUUAGAAUAAAGCGGAGAAUAAUUAUAUUUAAGUAUAUUCUGAUACUUUAAUCGAUUUCCUAACCAAUAUCACCAUUCUUUUUAAGUAUUUUCUUUCAAUGUGGUCUAUUAUUUUUAAAUUUUGAUAAAAUUUUAUGCAAUCUUCAAUGUUGGACUUUAUGUUUAAUAAACUCAAAAUUAUAGCUACCUUCAAAUGACUCUUCUCUGAACACCAUACUUUUUAAACUGAGAUAUAUACUCUGUAUAUACUAAGGUAACCAGAAGUCUCAGAAUAUAUCCAAUGAAAUGGAAGAUAUCCUCACAAGUAUUGUGAAUAUUGAAUAUGGAAAAAUUAGAUUGCAGUUCAUAUUCUUGUAGUUAAUGUAUCUUGCCUUCAAGGUACAUCUCUUUUUUUGCCAUCUCUUUUUUGUACCCUAAGAAGGGUACAUUUCUUUGAUAAUUAUCUUUACAAGGCAAACAUAUUGGUUCUAUUUAUGAUUCCUUUGAAUGUUAAGCCAAAUUUAGAUGCUGCAGUAACAUAAGGCUUCUCAACUGCGCUCCAUUCUGACACAAAUUGCAAAUUGAUCCAGUUAAAAAUUGGAGCAUCAUCAAAAGACUAUUCCCAUAGCUGAAGAAAUUCCUCAGUAAAAUUGAAGAAUUUCAAAAUUAAAUCCUGUAUGCCAUCUGAUAUUUCAUGACUUAAUUCAUUCAGUUUCUUUCUUAAUUUGUAGGACUAAAUCCCAUUGUCUUCAUGUUGGCCAGUUCUGAUAACUGAAAUUCAGUUGAAUUUCUAUGUUGAAUAGGAGUGGUAAGAGAAGACAUCUUUGUCUUGUGCCAAAUCAACACAAUCUUAAACAACCAAAGGAUUAAAGAAUGAAUACAAAAAUUUAGAAAAUAUUUUAGAUAAAUACAAAUAAAAACACAUGUUACCAAAGUUUAUGAUAUGCUUAUUACUAAGAGAAAAAUUUAUAGCUCUACAUGCCUAUAUAAAAGAAGAAAGAUGUCAAAUCAACAACCUAACUGUACAACUUUAGGAAUUAGAACAUGAAAAAUAGCAAAACAAUAAAUAAAUAGAAGACAAGAAAGGAAGGAAAUAAUAAAAAUAAGAGUGGAGUUAAAUAGAGAAUAGAAAAAUAAUACAGAAAAAUUACAAAAUUAAAAGUGGUUCUUUGAAAAGAUCAAAAGAAGUAGCAAAAUCUUAGCUGGAUUGACUGAGAAAAAAAUAGAAAAGACUCAAAUUACUAAAGUCAGAGGUGAAAGUGGAGACAUUACUAACCUUACAGAAAUGAAAAUGAUUAUAGAAGAAUAUUAUAAACAAUUGUAUGCCAACAAAAUAAACUAAAUGGAAAGGAA